rnacentral:rRNA from 1 species
CAGCAGCCGCGGUAAUACGUAGGUGGCAAGCGUUGUCCGGAAUUAUUGGGCGUAAAGCGCGCGCAGGUGGUUUAAUAAGUCUGAUGUGAAAGCCCACGGCUCAACCAUGGAGGGUCAUUGGAAACUGUUAAACUUGAGUGCAGGAGAGAAAAGUGGAAUUCCUAGUGUAGCGGUGAAAUGCGUAGAGAUUAGGAGGAGCACCAGUGGCGAAGGCGGCUUACUGGACGACAACUGACGUUGAGGCUCGAAGGCGUGGGGAGCAAACAGGAUUAGAUACCCGAGUAGUCCCUGUCUCUUAUAA